CUGACCUGGGAAGGAGGAGAUAGUCAGUAGGACCCUAGAGAGCAGGGGAAAACCGUGAAAGGCUGAGACAUUCACCCGGCAGAUACAGCCUCAUAAUCCUCAAAACACUGUAUGAAGUAUCACUACUAAUCAAACUUGCCACCCAAAUCCAGGAACCCAGCAGAGAGCAUCAAGGAAAGUACAGGAAUGUCAAAACAUAUCCUCAGGAUCAAGGGAUCCAUGCUGAUGAAGUAAAAACCUCUCUUACUGUCCAUCUCUUAAUGAAGAGUUGCUGAGUACCUGUUAUGGGAUUGGCACCACAGACACCAUCCCUGGGAGACCUAGAUGAUGGUAAGGGAGACAAGACUGUUAAUAAAUGGAAAUGACUGUAAUACAAACAAACUGAGCACAGAAAAGGUAACUCUGCCUAAAGACUGAGCUCAGGGAAGG